rnacentral:rRNA from 1 species
AGAGUUUGAUCCUGGCUCAGGACGAACAUUGGCGGCGCGCCUAAUGCAUGCAAGUCGAGCGAACUCGUUUUCUUCGGAAAACACAUAGUUAGCGGCGAACGGCUGAGUAACGCGUAAGUAACCUGCCUCGAAGAGGGGAAAAACUAUGAGAAAUCAUAGCUAAUUCCGCGUAAUGUCGAUUAAUUAAUUUAAUCGAAGAAAGAUUUAUCGCUUUGAGAUGGGCUUGCGUCCUAUCAGGUAGUUGGUAAGGUAAUAGCUUACCAAGCCUAAGACGGGUAGCUGGAGUGAGAGCUUGACCAGCCAGAGGGGGACUGAGACACGGCCCCCACUCCUACGGGAGGCAGCAGCAGGGAAUCUUGCACAAUGGGCGAAAGCCUGAUGCAGCGACGCCGCGUGAGGGAUGAAGGUUCUAGGAUCGUAAACCUCUUUUCUUAGGGAAUAGUUUGGAAGGUACCUAAGGAAUAAGUCACGGCUAACUACGUGCCAGCAGCCGCGGUAAUACGUAGGUGGCAAAUGUUGUCCGGAAUCAUUGGGCGUAAAGGGUCCGUAGGUGGCAUGAAUAGUCUUAUGUGAAAUCUCUUGGCUCAACCAAGAAACGCCAUAAGAAACUUUCAUGCUAGAGAUCAUCAGAGGGAGGUAGAAUUCCAGGUGUAGUGGUGAAAUGCGUAGAUAUCUGGAGGAAUACCAAUGGCGAAAGCAGCCUCCUGGGGUGAAUCUGACAUUGAGGGACGAAAGCGUGGGUAGCAAACCGGAUUAGAUACCCGGGUAGUCCAUGCCGUAAACGAUGAAUACUGGGUCUUCGGGGAAUCGACCCCCUGUGGACCGAAGCUAACGCGUUAAGUAUUCCGCCUGGGGAGUACGGUCGCAAGACUAAAACUCAAAGGAAUUGACGGGGGCCCGCACAAGCAGCGGAGCGUGUGGUUUAAUUCGAUGGUAAACGAAGAACCUUACCUAGGUUUGACAUAUAAGUAGUACUGACCCGAAAGGUGAUGGACCCGCAAGGGAGCUUAUACAGGUGCUGCAUGGUUGUCGUCAGCUCGUGCCGUGAGGUGUUGGGU